GACGAACGCUGGCGGCGUGCUUAAUACAUGCAAGUCGAGCGAGGUUACUGUUUUGGAUCCCUUCGGGGUGAAGAAGCUUUAACCUAGCGGCGGACGGGUGAGUAACGCGUGGGUAACCUACCCCAAAGUCCGGGAUAACAGCGGGAAACCGCUGCUAAUACCGGAUGCCUUUACCUUGGGGCAUCUUGAGGUAAAGAAAGGCAACGCUUUGGGAUGGGCCCGCGUCCCAUUAGCUAGUUGGUGAGGUAACGGCUCACCAAGGCGACGAUGGGUAGCCGGCCUGAGAGGGUGGACGGCCACACUGGGACUGAGACACGGCCCAGACUCCUACGGGAGGCAGCAGUAGGGAAUAUUGCGCAAUGGACGGAAGUCUGACGCAGCGACGCCGCGUGAGCGAUGAAGGUCUUCGGAUCGUAAAGCUCUGUCCUUAGGGGAAGAAGGUCUUCGGACUUGACGGUACCCAAGAAGAAAGCCCGCUAACUACGUGCCAGCAGCCGACGGUAAAAGUACUCUAU
rnacentral:rRNA from 1 species